AUAGCUCCACUCUUAUACAAAUCACAUGUUUCCAGAGUAGAUACAACCUCAUAGUGCUCAAAUAAAACAGUCAAACAGAAAACAACAAUCCUCUGAAGGUCUGCAACUGUGGUACUUGUGGACGCUUAGUGUAGAAUAGCUAAAUAAUUGCCUCACCUGAUGGUCUUCUUUGGCGAUGAUUAGAAACAGAGAGCCACAGAUGCAUAUACGGGGCAUAUCUCUUUGUCUCACCUGCAAAAAUUGUUGAGAGCAACUUCAGUGCAUGCAAACCUCGCUAGAAGCAAAAGUUUAGUGCAUUUGAAUUCUGAACUCUGAACUGAAGAAAGUUGUACAUGCAAUCAACUGAAACCGGGUGAACAAUCAGUUUGUCAGUUAUCAUGAGUCAUUUACGUGCUAAUGCUUCUUUUCACUCUGCAUAAAGCAAUAUACGAUGGUUUUGUAAAACUUGGUCUGCUGUAAUGCUCAUGCAAGUGUAAGCGGUUCAGUUAGAAUGGAUGUCUGAAUAUGUAGCCUAGUGUGGUAUCUAAAGUUUGGUACAGCGAAAUUAAUCUUAACAAUUACCAAGAUUGAUUCAUUUAUAUAGACGAACAACGUUAUUUUAGCUUGCAAGGACAGCCUAUGACCGUUUGUACACAAAUAUCAAUCCGCAGGAAGGGAGCAAAAUAAAAAAGGAAUCAUAAAGUAAUCUUGCAGAUGGAAACACAGAGUUCACCCACACAAACACGCAAAACAAAAGAGUUGCAGGGAUUUGAUGAUAGGGUCCUGGCCAGGAGGGGUUGC
rnacentral:lncRNA from 1 species